CAUCAGAAAACUUUUAAGUUUGAGUCUUUUAAACUCAAAACAAGUAAUUAUCCCAAUUACUACUGAUGA
rnacentral:tRNA from 1 species